UACCCUGUAGCACAGUGGAUAGCGCAUUGGACUUCUAAUCCAAAGGUUGUGGGGUCGAAUCCCACCUAGGGUAG